AUUGAACGCUAGCGGGAUGCCUUACACAUGCAAGUCGAACGGAGUGGCGAACGGGUGAGUAAUGUAUAGGAACGUGCCAAGUAGCGGGGGAUAAGUACGCGAAAGCGUAGCUAAUACCGCAUACUAUUGGCGUGGCCGAUAUCGGAUUAGCUAGUGGGUGGGGUAACGGUUCACCCAGGCGAGGAUCCUUAGCUGGUUUGAGAGGAUGACAAGCCAAACUGGAACUGAGACACGGCCCAGACUCCUACGGGAGGCAGCAGGGGGGAAUAUUGGACAAUGGGGGAAACCCUGAUCCAGCCAUCCCGCGUGUGCGAUGAAGGCCUUCGGGUUGUAAAGCACUUUUAGCAGGAAGGCGGUACCUGCAGAAUAAGCACCGGCUAACUACGUGCCAGCAGCCGCGGUAAUAC
rnacentral:rRNA from 1 species